CCUACGUGUGGCAGCAGUGAGGAAUAUUGGUCAAUGGACGGAAGUCUGAACCAGCCAUGCAGCGUGCAGGAUGACUGCCCUAUGAGUUGUAAACUUCUUUUAUAUGGGAAUAAAAUUUUCCACGUGUGGGAUUUUGUAUGUACCAUAUGAAUAAGGAUCGGCUAACUCCGUGCCAGCAGCCGCGGUAAUUCGGAGGAUCCGAGCGUUAUCCGGAUUUAUUGGGUUUAAAGGGUGCGAAGGUGGGUUGUUAAGUCCGUUGUGAAAGUUUGCGGCUCAACCGUAAAAUUGCAGUUGAAACUGGCAGUCUUGAGUACAGUAGAGGUGUGCGGAAUUUGUGGUGUAGCGGUGAAAUGCUUAGAUAUCACGAAGAACCCCGAUUGCGAAGGCAGCUUACUGGACUGCAACUGACACUGAGGCUCGAAAGUGUGGGUAUCAAACAGGAUUAGAUACCCUUGUAGUC
rnacentral:rRNA from 1 species